UAUUAGAAUUACUUAAAUAAAUAAUAAAAUAACUAGAAUAUGAGCAUCUUAAUUAAAUAAUGAAAUUUAGUUAUUUUACUUAUUUAAUGGGGAUAAUGAGAAUUUUUAAUAAUUAGCCUAUAAUUAUUUUAUUUAAUUGGUUGGAAGAAAAUAGAAGAGUGGAAAUAGUAGGGAGAAAAAGAAGAAUAUUAUUAGUAUUAUUUU
rnacentral:lncRNA from 1 species